UACGUAGGUGGCAAGCGCUGUCCGGAAUUAUUGGGCGUAAAGCGCGCGCAGGCGGUUAUGUGAGUCUGAUGUUAAAGCCCGGGGCUCAACCUCGGUUCGCAUUGGAAACUGUGUAACUUGAGUGCAGGAGAGGAAAGUGGUAUUCCACGUGUAGCGGUGAAAUGCGUAGAUAUGUGGAGGAACACCAGUGGCGAAGGCGACUUUCUGGUCUGUAACUGAAGCUGAGGCGCGAAAGCGUGGGGAGCAAACAGG
rnacentral:rRNA from 1 species